rnacentral:rRNA from 1 species
CCUACGGGAGGCAGCAGUGGGGAAUUUUUGGACAAUGGGCGAAAGCCUGAUCCAGCAAUGCCGCGUGUGUGAAGAAGGCCUUCGGGUUGUAAAGCACUUUUGUCCGGAAAGAAAACCUCCGCCCUAAUAUGGUGGGGGGAUGACGGUACCGGAAGAAUAAGCACCGGCUAACUACGUGCCAGCAGCCGCGGUAAUACGUAGGGUGCAAGCGUUAAUCGGAAUUACUGGGCGUAAAGCGUGCGCAGGCGGUCCGCUAAGACAGAUGUGAAAUCCCCGGGCUUAACCUGGGAACUGCAUUUGUGACUGGCGGGCUAGAGUAUGGCAGAGGGGGGUAGAAUUCCACGUGUAGCAGUGAAAUGCGUAGAGAUGUGGAGGAAUACCGAUGGCGAAGGCAGCCCCCUGGGCCAAUACUGACGCUCAUGCACGAAAGCGUGGGGAGCAAACAGGAUUAGAUACCCUGGUAGUCCACGCCCUAAACGAUGUCAACUAGUUGUUGGGGAUUCAUUUCCUUAGUAACGUAGCUCACGCGGAAGUGACCGCCGGGGAGUACGUCGUAAGA